AGCCGUGGGGCGUUCUGCCCUCGGCGAACGAGCGCUGUGUCCGGGCUCUCCGCCCCGACCGGCGCCGCUGCCGUGGCCCCCAGGGUCGGGCGGCCCUCUGACAGCUCCCGACAGCAGCGGGGGCGGCCCACAGCAGAGCCAGGCCCCUUUGGAUAGAGCGGAGCGGGGCCGCGCUGCCGCCGCAACUCAAACUCGGAGCCCAACUCGGAACAACUCCGUUGCCUGGAAACCACCGUCUGGCGCUGGAGCCUGACGGAACCGUGGAGCCAUUCAGGACUGCCGCAUGCUUACCCAGAUCUACAACUAUAAUGAAGGUUUGCUUUGUAGAGUUAAUACCAUCUCUCCUGGACUUUUCACUUUUCUUUAUGUGGCUGCACUGCAUGGAAAUGACCUGAAGUUUUCCAGUGUUGGGAGAAAUUUCACUCAAAACCAGAAGUGGACCUUUUUAUUAGUAUACGACAUUUUCUGUAUAGAAUUCUUUCAAUUCAUUGAUACCUAGUGUCUCUUUAUUUUUAUGUCUUCACUUUGUUUUGACUUCAAAUAGUUUAUGUCAUUGCUGUAUAUAUAUAUGACAAGCUGCUUCUUGGUAGAGCAUAGCUUUCAGAGUUGUUAACUGCUUGCUAGUAUCUUAUGAACAGUUAGCAAGGCUGAAGUACAUUGUCUGAAAUGAGGAAACUGAAUAAUUUGCAAAACCUUUAUAAGGAUUUAUUUUUGGAUUUACAAUAAUCUCUUUCCUCAAUCUUUUUUAUAGCUCAAAGAUUUAUAUAACUAUUGUUGGUGUAUUAUUCAGAACAGCAACCUAAACGUAAGGACAUUUUUAACGAAGUUUCUUACUAUGAGAAUUUAAAGACCACUUCCUGAGAAUUUAUCACAGACUACAGUUUGGGAUAUUCUCAUGCCCAGAUAAUCUCAGGUGAUGCCAUUAGACAGCAUAAAAUUACCACCAAAACCAAAGAAGCAAACUGAUUGAUAAUAAUCUAAUGCAUUUUUCUGAUAUCCAAAUCUGCCUUUUGGGAGUGCUAAUUAAAUAAAUAGUCACUGUACAUAAACAAAGCAUAAGCUAUAAUUCUCAAAAAACUUAUAAUUGUCUCAAGGUGUUUCACUUUACUUAACGGUGUAUGUUAUAUGUGGGGCACUCAUAAUCUAUUAGUUAUAAUUAGCCAAAUCUGAACUUGUAUCUUCUGUCUCAUGGCUUUGUACAUGUAUCCAUCUGCGUGAUGUCACCACAGUUGACCACAACUGACACACAGGUUUGCAUAAAUACCUUUCAUAUUUAUUUCUGGCUUUUAAUGUUAGGUUUUUACAACUGAGUAUACUGAUACUUUCUGACUGGACCUACUUUGUCAUAACCCUAGAUAAUGACAAUGUAACACUUAGUUUUGUCACCUUCAACUUAUGAUUAUUCAUAAAUUGUUCAAAGGAAAAGUAUACCAUGCAGAGUAAAACCCAAGGCAUACACUUCUAAAUCCUUGUGUUGUGCCAUAUGUCCCUGCAAUUAAUGUCAGUCUGCAAGGAUAGCCUUAUAUUGAGCCCCAAAAACUAUAAAUCAUAGAAAAUAAGAAAAUUAACUUCACCUUUUCUUUUGUUGUUGUUAUGUUAACUGUGUUACCAUGUUUGUCAAGUUGUAUGUUUAAGUUUUUAGGAAUUCUUUAUGUUCAUUUUUUCUGGUCCAGAAGAGAGAAAAAGAUGAGGAGAUGAGUUUGGUUGGGAAUGCCUCACUGGCCUAUGAGGAUAAUUUUAAUCUUGGGCCAUGGGAAGCGGACAUUUGUAUUAUGUUGGUGUUAAUGUUUAUUUUGUUCAGUUUCAUGCUGAUGAUUGUUCUAUUUUUGAGGAAACAGAGGGGGGGGGAAUUUCUCUUGUCCACUGCAGAGUGGCUCAGUUGGGGUGCAUGUGUUCUUAAUUUUUUUAAGAGUUCAUUUAUGGAGCCUAACCCCUCAAUAGUUGUCUGUUAAUUUCCUGGGGGAAGAGAUAUGCUUAUGUUUCCACAAGUAGAGGCCCACAGACAAAAACGUAAAGCCUGACCUGCCUGCAGCCACACUGUGAACAGCCACAAGAAGAAUCCCAGAAGAACCGGAGAUGGAAGUGGCUGAAAGAAGUACUUGGAAUAUUCAAGAUCCUGCUGCUCACUGAUGGUUGAUAGUCCGCUGCUGGAAGUAGAACAUUUGGGUGAUGCUGGCAAACAUCAUGAAGCAGGAGACCCUUUGUCUGCCAGUGGUCACCCCUUUCCUGCUGCUACCUCAACCAAAUGGUUAAAGAUUACACGGCUUCAAUUGCAUGUGCUGCUACUGAACACAGUCAGUCAAUACAUCAGAGCAUUCAAGUACUGAAGGAAGGAGUGAAGAAGUUACAAGUUGAAGUCCACUAGUUGAGUGGACUUUUUAAAAAGUGGGGUUUGUUGGGUUGGUUGCUAUCAUUAUAGUUUUGCUUGUUAUUGUAGAUAUUGUUGUUGUUAAUGUUACCUCGUUUAAUGACUUGUUUAUUGGGGACUGUCUGGAAGUCAUUACAAGCAAUUUUAAUUUUUCAACAGAGGAGUGGGAUAUGUGGAUAUGAGUAGUUAGGCAUCAAUUUAAGACCGUGGGAUGAUAGCAAACCUGUUCAUUUAAGGUUGUGCAUCCAGAGUGCUCUCAGUUCUCUCCUCUGAUUGGUUGUCAUUUGGUGACGCUGCACCCCGCGGCCUUUCAGGCCCAGGCUAGCUCUUCACCACUCGGCUGAUGGCAGCGCCAAGAGUGGGGAACGGUAUGGGAGUGAUUUUCCCAAUACCGAACCUUCAGAGCCUUCAGCACUCAGGCCCUGCGGGUCUCAGGCGUCGCGGGUCUCGGUGGAGGGAUGGAGGAGGCUCAGAGUCUCUUUUGCUUCCCAGGAACCAGGUUUAUUAGAGGAGAAGGGAGCGGUGACCAGGGAAAGGACUGGGACAACGAAACAGGAGAACAACUGGGCCCCGAGCACCUCCGUGCGUUGGGAUUUAACCAUGGAGAGGGUGCAACUCAGGAACCAAUCAGGGAGCACUUUGGGAGGAGUCAAAGGAGGGGUUUACAGAGCUUGGGACCAAUGGGAAAAAUACGUGUGUGGGGCGGCAAUUACAAAACCAAUCACGUAUUGAACAGGGGAUGAAAGGCAUGGAAGGUACUGGAAAAAGGGUAGGGUUUACAAUGAUGGGCAAGAAAAGGGGGCCAUAUAGGGAUGGCUGAUAGGGAAGGUUCAGGAAUAAAGGGAGGGGUUUACAAAGUUGACAACAGGGUAAAACCAUUAUAUAACCAUAGGGGGAAUAACAGGAACAUACCAACAGAUUAAACAAACAUAGUUAACAAAACAGAAGGCAACAAUUUGGUGCAUUAUUUUUAAUAUUCCUAGUCUCAGUCUGUUAUUGGAACCCUGUCUUCAUAUCUGCCCUCAGAUUUCCAUCUAUUUAUUGUUGCAUUCAUGUUUUUUGCACCUUUUGGGGUUGACCCUAUACUGUGUGUUUGCCUUUUGCUGUUUGUUAUUUUGCCAUUAAAGCAGUUUUACUUUUUGGGUUA